ACAUUCUCUAUUGCAGAAAGGUAUAAAUGCCGUUCUGAAUCUUUCGAUUGCUCCAUUUGGUCGUCUUUGAUGUGAUUAUUUUUCGAUUUUGUUUGUUAUUCUUUGGUUGCUAGUUCUGUAGAUCUGUUGGCAUUUUUUUUUUUUGGUUCUUGAUCCGUGACUUUUGCGCAUAUCGGAAUUUUUGAGAUUAUUAAUCCAAUUUUCGUGUUAAGUGGGAUAUUUUAUAUCUGAUUCAAAUGUUCGGUAGUUGAUUUGAUAUUCAUGUGCUUCUCUCUCGAGAUUUAUAAGAUCUAUCAUUGUUUUUCUCUGAAUUGUUCUGGAUCUGUCUCUGUGGUCCAGGAUAAUUUUGGGAUUUAGUUGGAUCUUGAUGUUUCUCAGCUCUAGUUGUUGUUGAGGUAGCAAAAGGCUUCAUUUUUUUUUUUCUUUAAUCUUUUAUUCUACUUGUUUGCAAUGAUGAUCAUUGAACAAGUAAUUAAUUGAGAAUGAGUAGUACUUAGGACUAAGGAAGGAUAUGGAGUCCAAAACUCUAGAUCUAGUAAUGUUUAAAUGGAUGUAUCGAAAUUGUGUUGGAGUAAACAUGGUAUGAUAUCAUAGAAGGCAAAUACACAG
rnacentral:misc_RNA from 1 species